rnacentral:rRNA from 1 species
UACGUAGGUGGCAAGCGUUGUUCGGAAUUAUUGGGCGUAAAGGGCGCGUAGGCGGUCGGUUAAGUCAGAUGUGAAAGCCCGGGGCUCAACCCCGGAGGGUCGACUGAUACUGAUUGACUAGAGUACGGAAGAGGUAGCUGGAAUUCCCGGUGUAGCGGUGAAAUGCGUAGAUAUCUGGAGGAAUACCGGUGGCGAAGGCGGCCUCCUGGACCAUUACUGACGCUGAUGCGCGAAAGCUAGGGGAGCAAACGGG